GACGAACGCUGGCGGCGUGCCUAACACAUGCAAGUCGAACGGGGUGAUUCCUUCGGGGAUCGCUUAGUGGCGAACGGGUGAGUAACGCGUGAGAAACCUGCCCUUCAGUGGGGGACAACAGUUGGAAACGACUGCUAAUACCGCAUAAUGUUUCGAGAGGGCAUCCUUUUGAAACCAAAGCUUUAUGUGCUGAAAGAUGGUCUCGCGUCUGAUUAGCUAGUUGGUGAGGUAACGGCUCACCAAGGCGACGAUCAGUAGCCGGUCUGAGAGGAUGAACGGCCACAUUGGGACUGAGAUACGGCCCAGACUCCUACGGGAGGCAGCAGUGGGGAAUAUUGGGCAAUGGGGGAAACCCUGACCCAGCAACGCCGCGUGAAGGAAGAAGGCCUUCGGGUUGUAAACUUCUUUUACCAGGGACGAAGAACGUGACGGUACCUGGAGAAAAAGCAACGGCUAACUACGUGCCAGCAGCCGCAGUAAGAC
rnacentral:rRNA from 1 species